CCAGGUGACCUUGCAAUCUCUGCAUGCAUAUUUCAAAUCUUCCCUCAUCCUGUCUAGACAACAUGCCAAUGUGUUAAUCAAGGUGCCUGUACCACGUGACUUUUUCGGCUAUGUGUGGGACAAUCGGAUGUCAACAAACCAUAGCUUCAGACUUGACAAGGAUAAGUCGAAGGAUUUGUAACGCUUUAAGGCGCGAAGCUGUGUUAGAAUUAGAUAAACACCAUCAAACCACACGGAAGGUGUUAUGCGGCAAGUUAAUUAUCAAAACCGCAGUGACAGAGACGGACCCAGCUUCAUUCUGUGAUGUUUACGGAUAGCUAUUUCAACUAACUAUGCAAACAUACCAUGUAAUAUGUAUUUUGGCAUAAUCAAAACAAAGUGUAUGUAUUGAUAUUUGUGUAUAUUUAUGUGUUUUGUAUCAAUGUUAUGAACCCUUUCAGUGCGGGAACCGAAUUUUGAAGGCCUUUGCAAACAGUUUGGAUCCAGAUGAGACGCCACAGAACGUGGCGUCUCAUCAGGAUCCAAACUGUUUGCUAUUCUGAUAGUAUUCUUUUAAAAAAAUCGAAGAAAAUGCUAAUUUUAGAAAUUCAGCAGACGACAUUUUAGCAGAAGACAAAUUUCCCAGCAUUCAAAGGGUUAAUGAAAUUGAUUAGAUGAAUAUAAAAUCUGAGUACAUAUUACCAUUUGUGGAACAUUAUGUUUCCUUGAUUGUGUGCAAGGACUGAUACAACAAAUUGUGCACAAAAAAAUAUGUGCACCACUACAAAUUCCACAUUGUAUUGUCCUUAAUCAGAAACCAUCAAUAUAUGUGCAGACAAAAACAUCAUUUUUUUUUAAUCCAAGAAAUUUCAUGCAAGUAAUGUCUCCAAAUCAAGUAUGGAUUCUUGGUCAAUGAAUCAGGGAAUGUCCUAGGAGAAUCCGCCACAGACAAGUUUGUAAGGCAUGCCAGACAUUGUAAUAAGCCUUCUUUGCAGACAGUAUUGAUAUUGUAUUGAUGUGCAUCUCAGGUGCAAGGCUUGAUAAUAAAUUUACCACUUCA